UUUUUUUUUAUUAGUAUAUUAGAAAUUAUAACUAAGUUCAAACUGUAAAGGCUUUAUAUAACUACUUGAGGAAUUAUAAUAUAAAUAGUACCUUUUGUAUCAGGGUAAAUUAAUUAAUUUAAUCAUUUUAUUGUCCCGAAUUUGAAUGAUCAAGUUUUGUAUUAUAUAUUUGUGUCAAAAAAUUUUGUAAUACUUUAUUAGUAAUUAAAUGUUAGCCGUUUUCUAUUUAUCUGGUUAUUAGGGAAAUUAAAUUUAAUUUUACACUUUUGACUUAUGUUAUCAUUAGGUUUUAAUUAAUAUUAAGUGUUAAUUUAUUGGGGAUAAUCUCAGUAAAUAUGAAUUAUUACUUAGAUUAAUUUUUAUUUUUUUACUUUUAAAUUUUGUAUUAAGUUUGUAUUAAAUUAGUUAAGUUAAUUAUUAUUUUUUUGUGUAUAUUUUUGUACUUAAUUUUUUAGUUUAAUUUUUAUUCUUGUUUAAUAAUGAUUUAAUUAGUAUAAUAAAUUAAUUGAGGUUAAUGAAUUCGACAAAUAUUAUUUCCAACUGUUUAUCAAAAACAUUUCUUUUUGUUUUUAUAAAAAGUAUCUUCUGCCCUAUGGUUUGAAUUUCUAAAUGGCUGCAGUAUUUUGACUGUGCAAAGGUAGCAUAGUAAUUAGUUUUUUAAUUGGAAGCUUGUAUGAAUGGAUGUAUGAGAAUUAUAUUUUAUUUCUUUAAAUGUUAAAAUUUAAAUUUAAAGUUAAAAUGCUUUAGUGACUUAUUGGGACGAUAAGACCCUGUAGAACUUUAUAUAAUUUUAUAUUAUCAAGUUUUAUUUAAAUAUUUUUAAUAUGUACCUUAUAUUUUGCUGGGGUGGUGGCUAAAUAAUUAACUUUAGUUUUAAAAAUCAUUUUUUUAUGUUAUUUUAGAUCCUGUAAAUAUGGAAAAUAAGAUUAAGUUACCUCAGGGAUAACAGCGUAAUAUCAAUGGGGAGUUCAUAUCUAUAUUGUAUUUUGCGACCUCGAUGUUGAAUUAAGAAAAUUUUAAGAAGCAGCCUUCUUAUAAAUAAGUCUGUUCGACUUUUAAAUUCUUACAUGAUUUGAGUUCAAACCGGCGUGAGCCAGGUUGGUUUCUAUCUGAUAAAAUAUUUGUUUACUUAGUACGAAAGGACCAGUAAAAUUUACUUAUGCAGGUGAAUAUUUUU
rnacentral:rRNA from 1 species